rnacentral:rRNA from 1 species
UACGUAGGGUGCGAGCGUUGUCCGGAAUCAUUGGGCGUAAAGAGCGUGUAGGCGGCUCGAUAAGUCCGCUGUGAAAGUCCAGGGCUCAACCCUGGAAGGCCGGUGGAAACUGUCGGGCUAGAGUCCGGAAGAGGCGAGUGGAAUUCCCGGUGUAGCGGUGAAAUGCGCAGAUAUCGGGAGGAACACCAAUGGCGAAGGCAGCUCGCUGGGACGGUACUGACGCUGAGACGCGAAAGCGUGGGGAGCAAACAGG